rnacentral:rRNA from 1 species
UGGGGAAUUUUGGACAAUGGGCGAAAGCCUGAUCCAGCAAUGCCGCGUGUGUGAAGAAGGCCUUCGGGUUGUAAAGCACUUUUGUCCGGAAAGAAAUCCUCUGGGUUAAUACCUCGGGGGGAUGACGGUACCGGAAGAAUAAGCACCGGCUAACUACGUGCCAGCAGCCGCGGUAAUACGUAGGGUGCAAGCGUUAAUCGGAAUUACUGGGCGUAAAGCGUGCGCAGGCGGUUUUGUAAGACGGAUGUGAAAUCCCCGGGCUUAACCUGGGAACUGCAUUCGUGACUGCAAGGCUAGAGUAUGGCAGAGGGGGGUAGAAUUCCACGUGUAGCAGUGAAAUGCGUAGAGAUGUGGAGGAAUACCGAUGGCGAAGGCAGCCCCUGGCCAAGUACUGACGCUCAUGCACGAAAGCGUGGGGAGCAAACAGGAUUAGAUACCCUGGUAGUCCACGCCCUAAACGAUGUCAACUAGUUGUUGGGGAUUCAUUUCCUUAGUAACGUAGCUAACGCGUGAAGUUGACCGCCUGGGGAGUACGGUCGCAAGAUUAAAACUCAAAGGAAUUGACGGGGUCAUAGCUGUUUCCU